rnacentral:rRNA from 1 species
UACGUAGGGUGCGAGCGUUGUCCGGAAUUAUUGGGCGUAAAGAGCUCGUAGGUGGUUUGGUAAGUCGGAUGUGAAAUCUCCAGGCUCAACCUGGAGGGGUCAUUCGAUACUGCCAUGACUAGAGGUCGGUAGGGGAGUGUGGAAUUCCUGGUGGAGCGGUGAAAUGCGCAGAUAUCAGGAGGAACACCCGUAGCGAAGGCGGCACUCUGGGCCGAUUCUGACACUGAGGAGCGAAAGCGUGGGGAGCGAACAGG